GGGUCUAUAUGUCAAUCGGUUAGACGAGCGGACUUUUAAUCCGUGGAUCUGGGUUCAAGUCCCGGUAGGCCCA
rnacentral:tRNA from 1 species